AGCAAAUAUUUAUUCCACGCAUAUUUUCCCUUUUCUUUCAGGCUCCAGUUUUGAAACAUGUGGAUUUUCCCGGCCAAACCUCGCUUGACUGCCAUGAGUUGGUUCGGUUUGUUUCCCUCGGUUUUCUCGAGGCUGCUUCUGAAAAUCGCUUUUCAGGGCGAGGGAGGAGAAGUGGGAAGGGGAGGCAGCUCUAUGGGGCAGCGCUGUUUUACAUACGGGUUAGACACGGCUAGAGGCCAAGGUCAAGUUGAAAGUUGCAGUCUAGCCAGUGUGAGAACUGUCAUUCACAGCCCGAAGA
rnacentral:sRNA from 1 species